rnacentral:rRNA from 1 species
AACGAACGCUGGCGGCAUGCCUAACACAUGCAAGUCGAACGAACUCUUCGGAGUUAGUGGCGCACGGGUGCGUAACGCGUGGGAAUCUGCCCUUGGGUACGGAAUAACUCAGAGAAAUUUGUGCUAAUACCGUAUAAUGACUUCGGUCCAAAGAUUUAUCGCCCAAGGAUGAGCCCGCGUAAGAUUAGCUAGUUGGUGGGGUAAAAGCCUACCAAGGCGACGAUCUUUAGCUGGUCUGAGAGGAUGAUCAGCCACACUGGGACUGAGACACGGCCCAGACUCCUACGGGAGGCAGCAGUGGGGGAAUAUUGGACAAUGGGCGAAAGCCUGAUCCAGCAAUGCCGCGUGAGUGAUGAAGGCCUUAGGGUUGUAAAGCUCUUUACCCGGGAUGAUAAUGACAGUACCGAAAGAAUAAGACACCGGCUAACUUCGUGCCAGCAGCCGCGGUAAU